AUCCCAACAAUAUGCUUGAGGCAAACAUUCAUCAAAGUUAGCCAAGCGUUUGAAUAUGCAAAUAAUAAUGUUUACUCGAAACAAACAAUGCAGAAUAGUACGCCUAUUUUUCGGCCUUUCCAGCGGGACUUAACGAUAAACGAAUCUAAUCGAAUUUUAUAACAAUAAAAAUACAGCAAAAUUAUAAGAGUUCUUAUCACAGAAAUGACCGCACCCAACACAACCAGACGAGCAAGUAAAUAUAGCAAUACGAGGGAAUCUAUGAACAAUCAAUUGAUAAUUUAUGUCGUUCAACCAAGAGCAAUCAAAGAUUAAGCAGCGAAGAAAUGAAUGCACAACGAAGUUCAAAUGCUCUUCUAAUAAAAGUUCGAGUCAAAAGCAAAAUAAAGAUAAGUUAAGGAACAAACGUGACGGUAUUUCCCAGACAUUACACAACUUAUAGCCCCAAUACCAAUACAACGAAUAGCAAUUAGCACACAUAAAUAUGUAUGUAAUCGCGAGACAAAUUUCUGACAGCCAUGAAAGUGAAAUUGAAAAUAAAGACCAUAAAUUUA
rnacentral:sRNA from 1 species